rnacentral:rRNA from 1 species
UACGUAGGGUGCAAGCGUUGUCCGGAAUUAUUGGGCGUAAAGAGCUCGUAGGCGGCUUGUCGCGUCGAUUGUGAAAGCUCGGGGCUUAACCCCGGGUCUGCAGUCGAUACGGGCAGGCUAGAGUUCGGUAGGGGAGACUGGAAUUCCUGGUGUAGCGGUGAAAUGCGCAGAUAUCAGGAGGAACACCGGUGGCGAAGGCGGGUCUCUGGGCCGAUACUGACGCUGAGGAGCGAAAGCGUGGGGAGCGAACAGG